rnacentral:tRNA from 14 species
CAAAUUAGAGCUUGAUUUAAGCAUUUCAUUUACAUUGAAAAGAUAUUAGUUAUUUAUUUAAUUUGA